AUUGAACGCUGGCGGCAUGCCUUACACAUGCAAGUCGAACGGUAACAGGUCUUCGGAUGCUGACGAGUGGCGAACGGGUGAGUAAUACAUCGGAACGUGCCCGAUCGUGGGGGAUAACGAAGCGAAAGCUUUGCUAAUACCGCAUAAGAUCUACGGAUGAAAGCAGGGGACCGCAAGGCCUUGCGCGAACGGAGCGGCCGAUGGCAGAUUAGGUAGUUGGUGGGAUAAAAGCUUACCAAGCCGACGAUCGGUAGCUGGUCUGAGAAGACGACCAGCCACACUGGGACUGAGACACGGCCCAGACUCCUACGGGAGGCAGCAGUGGGGAAUUUUGGACAAUGGGCGAAAGCCUGAUCCAGCCAUGCCGCGUGCAGGAUGAAGGCCUUCGGGUUGUAAACUGCUUUUGUACGGAACGAAAAGACUCUUUCUAAUAAAGAGGGUCCAUGACGGUACCGUAAGAAUAAGCACCGGCUAACUACGUGCCAGCCGCCGCAGUAACAC
rnacentral:rRNA from 1 species